AAUAGAAAAAACUACAAUCAUGUUGAGCAGUUAUUCUCAUCAUGGCCUUGACAACAUUACGUUAUUCUAACUUUUGUUGAUGAAUUCAUUUGGGGGAAAAAAGAGAAUAUUUUUUCACUGUCAGAUAUAUGAAAAAAAUAUUAUGAACCAAGAAGUAACCUAAAUAAGUCACUGCAAAGAAAUAUUUUACAUUCUUUUAACUCAUUUGAUUUUUUUUAUCUCUUACCAUUAUCUUAUUAAAUCUGAUAUUUGAUGUAAAAUGCUGGAAUUUAAAUUUUAGAAAACUCCUGAAGAAUGAAUAACCAAAACUGUUUUGUGCCCCUUUCUGUUGGAAAUGUAACCUUUUUUCGACUUUUAUAACUCAUUAAUAACAUACAGAUAUGUAUAUACAAAUGUCAUUAACUGAAUUGUUGUUGUUUUUGUUUUCUCAUAUCAUAAAUGUCAUAUGUAACAGUGAAUUAUGUGAGUUGAGUAGAGGUAGUAAAGCAGGGUGACUAGGUUCAAAUACCUGGGGUCAACCAUCCAGGGAAAUGGACAGAGGACAAAAAAGGUGAAGAAAAGGGUGAAGACAGGGAGAUUUUCACUGGGAGUGAAGAGGAUGAACAGGAGUAGAAAUGAGUCGAUCAGAGGGACAGUUAAGGUGGAGCAGUUUGGAGAUAAGGUUAGAGAGGUGAGGUGGAGAUGGUUUGGACAUGUGUUGAGGAGAGGAAAGUAUCAGACAAAGGAUGUUAGAGACUACCAGAAAAAAGGAGAAGAGGAAGACCUCAGAGGAGAAUUGUGGAUGAUGUAAAAGAGCACAAGGAGAUAGUUGGAGGAAAAGACGAGGGGAGAUGGAGGCAGAUGAUCUGCUGUGGUGACCCCUGAAGGGAAACAGAUGUAGGAAGAAAAAUGUGGGUUUUUUAAAAAAAUUGUAUUACUAUCAGUAGUAACCUAGAGAAUUGCCAAUGUAAAACAUGUUACUUUUAAAAAACAAAAUAAAAUGUCUGAUUAUUAUCAAUGUAUCUCAGUACACUGUGUGCUCAGUAUCAAUAUUAACUUUCUUAAAUACAUUUCUGAUUUCUUUUUUACAUUAAUACAGAUCAUAAAAUGUCAGAAACCAUAUCUUCCAUCCUGUUCAGCUGGACAAACAUGAAGAGGGACUUGAGCAGCAGAAGAUGAAUGAAUAAGUGAAUGACUAAAGUCUCCCCAGAAGAGUUGACAUGAGUUGUUGAACGAUUGUCUCAAUCAAGUUUAAGUGAAGUACAGAUGCACCCUGGGAAGUCCGUCAGUGAUCAUGCUGAGUUGCUGACUACACAGUCAUUAUUCCGAAGUGUUACUCAUCACACUGGUACCCAUG